ensembl:snRNA U1 U1 spliceosomal RNA
AUACUCACCUGGCAAGGGAGAUAUCAUGAUCAUGAAGGUGGUUUUCCCAGAGCAAGGCUUAUCUAUUGUACUCAAGAGGUAAUGACCUCGGUAAUUUCCCCAAAUGUGGGAAACUCGACUGCAUAAUUUGUGACUGUUCACACUCUCUUCCGAAAAAAUGUGAC